rnacentral:rRNA from 1 species
CCUACGGGAGGCAGCAGUGGGGGAUAUUGCACAAUGGGGGAAACCCUGAUGCAGCGACGCCGCGUGUGGGAAGACGGUCCUCUGGAUUGUAAACCACUGUCCCCAGGGACGAAGAUGACGGUACCUGGGGAGGAAGCUCCGGCUAACUACGUGCCAGCAGCCGCGGUAAUACGUAGGGAGCGAGCUUUGUCCGGAAUUACUGGGUGUAAAGGGAGCGUAGGCGGGACUGCAAGUUGGGUGUCAAAUCUACCGGCUCAACCGGUAGCCGCACUCAAAACUGCAGUUCUUGAGCGAAGUAGAGGCAGGCGGAAUUCCUAGUGUAGCGGGGAAAUGCGGAGAUAUUAGGAGGAACACCAGUGGCGAAGGCGGCCUGCUGGGCUUUUACUGACGCUGAGGCUCGAAAGUGUGGGGAGCAAACAGGAUUAGAUACCCUAGUAGUC